GUGUUCACUUCAUCAAUACAUGUACUAAAAUUGAAAUAAUACAGAGAAGAUUACCAUGGCCCCAGCACAAGAAUGACAAGCGAAUUUGCAAAGUGUUCCAUAAUUAA
ensembl:snRNA U6 U6 spliceosomal RNA